AUUGAACGCUAGCGGGAUGCUUUACACAUGCAAGUCGAACGGCAGCGCGGACUUCGGUCUGGCGGCGAGUGGCGAACGGGUGAGUAAUGUAUCGGAACGUGCCCAGUAGCGGGGGAUAACUACGCGAAAGCGUAGCUAAUACCGCAUACGCCCUACGGGGGAAAGCAGGGGAUCGUAAGACCUUGCACUAUUGGAGCGGCCGAUAUCGGAUUAGCUAGUUGGUGAGGUAACGGCUCACCAAGGCGACGAUCCGUAGCUGGUUUGAGAGGACGACCAGCCACACUGGGACUGAGACACGGCCCAGACUCCUACGGGAGGCAGCAGUGGGGAAUUUUGGACAAUGGGGGCAACCCUGAUCCAGCCAACCCGCGUGUGCGAUGAAGGCCUUCGGGUUGUAAAGCACUUUUGGCAGGAAAGAAACGUCGCGGGCUAAUACCCCGUGGAACUGACGGUACCUGCAGAAUAAGCACCGGCUAACUACGUG
rnacentral:rRNA from 1 species